UUAAAAUCUACAAUAACUUUGCGUUGACGACGACGGAAGACGUAAAGUUUGAAGAUGUCAUGAAGAAGUUCAAGGACUAUUGUGAGCCUAAAAAGAAUGUUCUUCAUUCAAGGUUCCUUUUUUACACCAGAAAGCAGGAGGAGAGCGAACCAUUUGACAGCUUCCUAACUGAUGUAAAGAGGCUAGUUAAGAGUUGUAAAUUUGGAGCGGACGAAGAUGAUGCUGUUCGCGACCGACUCGUAUUGGGUACCAAUGACCUGCAUACCCAGAAGAAGAUAGUCAUAGAAGGCGAUGCAGAAUUGGACAUGGUAAUCACAAAGUUGCGACUUGCCGAAUUAGGACGUCAACAUGCUGCAGAGGUCCAAGGCAAAGUCAAGGUUGAUAAGGUGAUUGAAAAAAAAUCGAACAGCAAACCGGUACAUAAUAAUAAUAUGGUACUGAAAUGCAAAUGGUGCGGAGAACAACAUGAGCGUAAACUCGAAGUGUGUCCGGCUCGUGGCAAAUUGUGUACAAAGUGCAAUCGGUACAACCAUUAUGCUACAGUGUGCCGCAGCAAAUAUGUAAAAGCUAUUGCAGACAAUCAGGAAGAUAGUGAUGGUGAAUUUUAUUGUGGCAGUGUUCAGAAGAUGAUCCAAGGAAAAUUGAAUUAAUUGCAAAGUACCAAGAUGUAUUUACUGGGACAGGGAGAUUUCCAGCUGAAUGUCAAAUACUACUAAAAGAAGGGUCUGUACCAAUCUCAAAACCACCUCAUCGUGUUCCUCUAAAAUUAAAAGAAAAACUUAAGUCUGAACUUGAACGAUUGUGUAAAAAAGGUGUCAUAUCAAAGAUGGAUGAAGCCACAGAAUGGAUCAAUAGAAUUGUGAUAGUUGAGAAAGACCAAAAUGCAAUCCGUGUGUGCUUAGACCCUAGGGAUCUAAAUAAGUGUAUUCUUAAGAAAUAUUAUGAAAUACCAACUAUAAAUGACCUUAAAUCUAAAAUAUCUGACGCUAAAUAUUUCUCGGUCCUAGACUUGAAAGAGUCUUUUUGGCAAAUUGGUCUUUCUGAAUCUAGUAAAAAGCUUUGUACAUUCUCAACAGUCUUUGGCACAUACAAUUUUAAUGUUUUACCAUUCGGAUUAGACAUUUCAGCUGAAAUAUUUCAAGAAAACUGUGAAAAUUGUUUCAAAAACAUAGAAAAUACAUUUAUAUACAUUGAUGAUUUUUUAAUAUAUGGCAAAACAAAAGAGGAACAUGAUGUGGCUUUAGAAAAAGUCUUAUUAAGGGCACGAGAAUUAAAUAUUAAAUUUAAUCUUAAAAAAUUUCAAUAUCUCCCUGAAAUAGUAAAGUAUUUUGGUCAUGAGAUAAUUAAUGGUUGUCUGAUGCCUGAUAAAAAUAAGGUUAAAGCUAUAAUGGAUUAUGACUCGCCCUCCGAUAAACAAAGUUUACAAAGGUUUCUGGGCAUGGUAAAUUAUAUGAGAGAUUACAUCCCAAGAUUGUCCGAAUUAACAAGCCCGCUAAGAGAACUUUUAAAAAAAGAUGUUGUGUUUCAGUGGAGAGCGACUCAUGAAAAGUGUAUUGAACAAAUCAAAAACAUUCUUAUUAGUCCACCUGUUUUAAGAAAUUUUGAUCCCAAGCAACCUUUAACUAUCCAGACUGAUAGUUCAAAAAAUGCAAUUGGCUGCGUUUUGAUGCAGUUUAAACAACCAGUUGCAUUUGCAUCUAAAAGCCUAAGUAAAACUGAAUGUGAAUAUGGUCAAAUAGACAAGGAAUUUUUAGCCAUUUUAUUUGCUUGUAAAAAAUUUCAUUAUUAUAUAUAUGGUAGGCAUACUGUAGUCCAAACUGAUCAUCAACCAUUAGUUGCAUUAAUGAAAAAAGAAAUUUAUUCCAUUGCAUCACAAAGACUACGAAAAAUUAGAUUAAAACUAAAUAUAUAUGAUAUUGAUGUCCAGUAUGUUAAGGGUUCACAGAUGUUGAUUGCGGAUGCUAUAAGUAGAGCAUCUUCUAAAGCUGAUGCUAGUACACUUGAACAAUCUUUGGACCAUGUUGUUCAUACUGUGAAUGUAUGUGAUAGCUUUCUCAUAGAGAUUACAGAAGCCACAUGUAAAGAUGCAGCACUAUCCCAAAUGAUAGAAUACUGUAAUAAUGGUUGGCCUACAAAUAUUGAUAAAGUUACAGAUCUUGUCAAACCUUAUUGGAAAUUAAAAAAUAACAUUGUAGUUGAAAAUAAUAUUGUAUAUUUAGAUAAUAGGAUUAUAGUUCCUUCAUCUCUUAAAAAAACUGUUAUGGAAAGAGUACACUCUGCACAUUUUGGUAUCACUAAAACGCUGGGUAGAGUAAAGUCACUUUUCUUUUGGCUAAACAUGAAAAGUGAUGUCAUUGAUACUAUAAGUAAAUGUCAUUUAUGUGAAAAAUAUAGUACUAGAAAAGUAAAGGAAUCCUUAUUAUUAGAUGAAACUACACCAUCACUCCCAUAUCAUAAAGUGGGUUGUGAUUUUCUAAAUUAUGGUAAUGAAAACUAUCUAGUAGUGGCUGACUACUAUACUAAGUGGUUUGAUCUAAUAAAAGUUAAUUCUAUGACUGCUGCAACAGUUAUAAAAAUAUUAAAAACCUUAUUUGCUACUCAUGGUAUACCAAGCAUUCUCAGAGCUGACAACAUGCCAUUCAACUCAAUUGAAUUUAAAAACUUUGCAAAAAUGUAUAAAUUCUCUGUUGUUACAUCUAGCCCGCUGUAUCCUAAAUCGAAUGGCUUUGUUGAAAAAUAUGUUGGUAUAGCAAAGCAUAUGUUAAAAAAAUGCAAGGAUGAAAAUUUAGACAUACAUCUUGUUAUCUUAGAAUAUAGGAAUAGCCCAGUGAUAGGUUCACCAUACUCUCCAUCUCAAUUGUUGUUUAGUCGUUUUACUAAGUCUACACUGCCAAUACACAACAACUUGCUUGCACCAAAAGUAGUCACUGAUUUUGAUAAGUAUCAAGAAAAAAGAAACAUGAUGAAUAAAACGAAUUAUGAUAAAACUGCCAGACGUUAUAAUUAUACUCUAGAAAAAGGGCAAGAUGUUGUAUAUCGCAGAGAAAAUGUAUGGUUGCCAGCCAAAAUAGUGGACUCUCACAGUUCGCCCAGGUCUUACUUGAUCCAAGAUGAUCAGGGUUCUAUGUUAAGAAGGAACUCUUCGCAACUGAAGCCAUCAGCAACUUCCAAGAUACCAUUAGAUGUUUCUGUUAGCUCGCCGAGGCGAUGCGUUAUACCUGAGGAUGGGGACUCGGAGUUGCCUAUGGGUUCUGAACAAAUGAUGGAACCUGGAUCUUCGGCUAAUUGUGAAGGCAGACCUAAACGUGUUAUUAACCCUCCAGCUUAUCUUAAAGACUAUGAGACAGACUUAUCACAUAAGGGGGAAGAUGUAUCAUGUUCUUAGUUAAGGCGUUUUGGAACACACUACGAUCACGUGACUAUAACGUGACCGACGCGUCCAAGCAAACUGUAACGAACAAACUGACUUGUGGAAUACACGGAGUUCUCAAUUA